AUGCAACACAAAAAACCACACUUUCAAUUGCAUUUCUCUCUCUUUCUCACGAUUUCCACUUUCCUAUAAUAUUUUUCUCUCAUUUUCUCGGGAAAAUCGCGGGAUCUAUGUUCUGUGUGACACGAUUCCACGAUUUCCACUAAUUUUUCAGUUUGAAAUUGUGAAUUUUUGUUCUUUGUUUUUGUUUUGUUAGGGUUUUCGAUUCGAGAUUCGUUUUUCUAAUGAGCGAUCACUUGGUGGUGUUCGUUGACCGUCUCGCGUGCCCUGUCCCCAUUGAUCCGGUGGCGAAGACGGCCUAGGUGCCUUCCAAACCAUCUCCACCUUCGGCCGUCGUGGAUGCCGACGUCGCCGGGAGCUCCGACACCUCACCAUUGCAGGAUUACGACGGCGAGGGCGAUGACGAGAUUGUGCUAUGGGUGACAAUUUCGUUCCUGUUGAAGAAAGAAUCAAUUACGUUGGUGGUGACAGUGUUCUUAAUUAUGUUCCUCUUUCAAUACCUUCCCAAAAUGUAUCACUCUGUUUGCCUCUUACGUCGCAUGCAAGACCUCUCUGACUACAUUUUUGGAACCGUUUGGUGGGGUAUCACACUUAACCUGAUCGCAUAUUUUGUUGCUUCCCAUUAUUUUACCGAUGCUAGACCAUUGGAACCAGAGAGAUUGAAGGCGCUUCGCAUUCAGUGGGCAAAGUACUAUAUGAAACUUAAACAUGAAACUUAAGAUGUUUAGGCAAUUUUGAAAUUGUAGUUUAUAUUUACUUUACAUUUUUUACAAUUCAUGUCUCAACAUUAAAUAUGCUUUUAAUUCAUAGUAAUUAGUAAUUUCUCA